GAUGAACGCUAGCGGCAGGCCUAACACAUGCAAGUCGAGGGGUAACUAGAGUGAUAGCAAUAUUACUUUGGCUAGACCGGCGCACGGGUGCGUAACACGUAUGCAACCUACCUUAUACUGGGGAAUAACUUCGAGAAAUCGGCGCUAACACCCCAUAACAUUGCGAAGAGGCAUCUCUUUGCAAUUAAAGCUCCGGCGGUAUAAGAUGGGCAUGCGUCCAAUUAGCUAGUUGGUGAGGUAACGGCUCACCAAGGCUACGAUUGGUAGGGGUUCUGAGAGGAUGAUCCCCCGCACUGGUACUGAGACACGGACCAGACUCCCACGGGAGGCGGCAGUGAGGAAUAUUGCGCAAUGGACGAAAGUCUGACGCAGCCAUGCCGCGUGCAGGAUGACGGCCCUAUGGGUUGUAAACUGCUUUUGUACGGGAAUAAACCCUUCUACGUGUAGGAGGCUGAAGGUACCGUAAGAAUAAGCACCGGCUAACUCCGUGCCAGCAGCCGCCGUAA
rnacentral:rRNA from 1 species